GUCUAAAUACUGUAUACACGCACAAUAAUCGUCCCUCGCUACAUCACCGUUUGAAUAUCGCUCCCUUGCUAUAGUGGUUUUUAAAAAAUGUAUUAAUUAAUAAAUGAUGGCUAUUUCGUGGUUGAAUACAGCCCAUUAUUAGUAACAAAAAUAGCACAUUUAAGGAAAUUGCACUUAUUCUACACAUUUUCAAGCAUAAAAAGGGCUAAAUAAACUAACUAAAUGAACAAAAAUACAAGGCAGAAGAAGCAUUCUAAUUGUGAAUGUAGUACACUAGGUUCUCUACCUACGAACAUCCGACUUGCGGACAUUCGGAGAUACGAACGCAAGCUGACUGGUCUAUAUUGUCAUGUAUUUUGUCGAAAAUUGCGAUAUUUUGUCAUUUGAAUUUGUUCGAAGUAUGUAGGCACUAUUUUUUAAUUGCGCGCCAUUCCGCCGCUACGAAUGGUGGGCAGCAGCAUCCCUCUCACUCCAUCUUUCUCAGUUCGUCGCUGCACAAGUCGCUGAUAACAUCUCGGAGCACUCCGUUUGUACCCCAUUCAAUACUUUACAGAGAGGUUUUUUAUCUGUUAUCAUGGCUGAUAAAUCGAGUGCUAGCGCUUGUAGUAGUGGUAGGAAACGUCAAGCAAUUUCCAUGGAAAUGAAGGUGGCCAUCAUAAAGAAGUUGGACAGUGGCGAGAAAAUGGCUAAUGUAGUGCGUACCUAUGGAGUGAAUCGGUCAACCAUAGGAACAAUUUACAAAGGCAAGGUUUGUACUACGAAACAUGUGAAGACUUCUGUACCAAUUGCAUCCACUAUCAUUUCAAAGAGGAGAGGCAAAUGCAUUGGAGAGAUGGAAAAACUCCUUAGGAUGUGGCUGGAGAACAUGAAUCAGUGAUGCAUACCUCUUUCCCUUUCGUUGAUCCAAGAAAAGGCUAGAAUCCUUUUUGAAGAUGUGAAGGCUAAGGCAGGAGAGGAUGCUGCUGAAGAAGAAACCUUUGUGGCUAGCCAUGGUUGGUUUCCUCGUUUUAAACGGCGAGCAAAUUUGCGCAACCUUAAGUUAAAAGGUGAGGCUGCAAGUGCGGAUAAGAAGGCUGCCGAAGAAUUUCCUUCUAUCCUAAAGGGUAUCAUCGAUGCUAAUGGAUACACCCCCCAACAAAUCUUCAACAUUGAUGAAACGGGCCUUUUUUGGAAGAAGAUGCCAACGAGGACCUAUAUCAGCCGGGAGGAGAAAAGUAUACACGGGUACAAGGCGGCCAAGGAUAGACUCACGCUGAUGCUUGACGGAAAUGCGUCUGGUGACUUUAAGCUGAAGCCUCUCCUUGUUUACCAUGCUGCAAACCCCACAGCACUUAAGAAGUGACCAAGAGUUCAUUACCCGUUAUUUGGAUGUUUAACAACAAGGCCUGGGUAACUCUUGCCAUUUUCGAGGAUUGGUUCUACCACCACUUUAUCCCUGAGGUCAAGCUGUAUUGUCGUGAGAAUGAGAUCCCGUUCAAGAUUCUUUUGAUACUCGAUAACGCACCCGGGCACACCGCACUUGGACGACUUCCACCCUGAUGUUAAGGUGGUCUAUCUCCCUCCCAACACCUCUGUCAUACAGCCGAUGGAUCAAGGUAUGAUUUUCAACUUUAAAAAAUAUUACACCCGACGGACACACAGACAAGCGCUUCAAGCCGUGGACCGAGAGAACACCGAGGCUACUCUAUGUGACUUCGAGAAGUCGUAUAACAUCUACGACUGCAUCAAGAAUACCGAUGCUGCGUGGCGUGAGGUCACUCAAUCAAAUAUGCACGGUGUAUGGAGGUAUCUGACCCCACAGUUUUGCCACGACUUUAAAGGUUUCGAUCCACAGGAGGAGAGCAAGAAGGUGGUCGCCAGCUUGAUAGAGAUCAGCAAGAAGCUGCAGCUCAACUUGGAGGAGGAUGAUUUUGAGGAGCUUUUCGAGUCGCAUUCAGAAGAGCUAACCAAUGAAGAACUUAUGGAGUUGGAGGAGAUGCAGCGCCAACAGCAGGAGAAGGAAGCGAAAGAAGAAGAGACACUUCCCAUUAAGAAGUUCGACACAAAGCUUCUUUCGUCUGCCUUUUCGAAAUUUGAAGAGGGGUUAAUGCUUUUGGAGGUUCAAGACCCUAAUGUUGAGAGGUUCUUGAAGGUCUCAACCAGUAUCAAUGAUGCUCUACAGUGCUACCGUAUUAUCUACGAGGAGAAGAAAAGGAAGACCGUACAAACUUCCAUUGAAAGCUUCUUCAAACGUAGAUCUGCUACACCUGCACCGUCGUCACCAAGUGACUCGCCACCUUCGUCUGCACCUUCGUCGCCAAUUCCUUCCACCUCAGUAGUUUCCCCUGAACUAGCUCUUUUAGAAGAGUCUACCGACGACGAUGAUUUUUACUUUUUUCAAUAACUACUACUCCUCCUCCACCACUACCACCAACGACGUAUGCUCGGCCACUCCUCUUCAAAGAUGGCUCUGACAGGUUUCUAUGCGAGUCUGUAUUCAGCUACCAAGUAGCGUCGGCACUCAAGCAGGUCAAACAUGAUCAACAGGUAUCCCGCAUGGAGAAGCUGGCGAGCUUGGUGGAGGAGCUAGAAGCGGACGAGUGGCGGUAC